GCCCCUCCCCAACAGCCAGCUGAGGGAAACCCGCCUCCCACCAGCCCCAGCUCCAGCGCCCCAGUGGUUUAGAUCCGGAACCAGCCCUUCCCCUAAGGAGGGUGGGGAACUGCGAACCGGCCCCUCCCCUAUGCCGAGGGUGGGCGAGGGGAACCUGGGCCACUGCUAGACUGUUGCCUUCCCCCAACCGAAAAAGGAAGCCGCCCUCUGCCCCCACGGAACUCCCGUCACCUGUCCGAGGGUGUAUCUCCGUCAAAAUCGUCUUAGAAGACACCCCAGUUGUCAUUUCCCAUCUCGAAAAAGGGGACAGGCAGAGGCUCCCCCCUUUGCAAAACACCUCCCAGAAAAAGAGCCAGAAAUUCUUAGGGACAAACUGGCGUAAAAGCCAGGAGCUGGGGUGUAGGAACUGAAGAGGAGGCUGGGAGACUCACCUCCACCGCCACUCCCAGGCUUCAGACCUCGGGCGUUUGUAAGGUGCUUUGCGUUGCCAGUGCUUACACGGACGGGCCCUGGUGUACUCAAGUCCCCAGCGCUCCUUCCUCCCUUCGCGCGCGGCCUUAAUUCAGUUAAACAGAUUUCCACUCCCCCUCCCCAGCACCUCUGAGGCCUGCCGUGUUGAAUAUUUUUAAAUAAGUUUGCCCCUCCUUUUAGUAUAUGAUGAGCUUUGUGCUAAGAUCCCAGUACACUCAGCAAUUUAUAACCUCACUUGCUCCUCCUCCCGCGUUAGACGCUCAGGUUGUGGGGGGACGGGAACCCGAGAUGAAUUUUUAAGGGGUCGAUCCUCCAACAAAAAAGCUCAGGUUGUGGGGGGACGGGAACCCGAGAUGAAUUUUUAAGGGGUCGAUCCUCCAACAAAAAAGCAGACCUGAAAAUUACCCUGCGAAAUAUUGCUGUAAAAACAUCAAUGAUAUGAAAUCACGGUUGCUACACCAUCAUUAGAGCACAUCGAUAAAAAAAUACACAUACACAGUCUCCAUAAUUGUGAAUCAGCAGAACAGAUUGUGUCUUAUUAUGUCUUAUCAGCUGCCAUUCAAAGGUCUCCAGACAGACUUGGGACCUUCCACUGAGCCUGCCCUUCAUUGCUCCCGGACUCCCUGGGCUUGUGUAAACUGAUGCUGAGGUAUUGCAUGCAAUCGAAAAACGAAGGGUGCAAGAGAAAACCCAAGCGAGCUCAUGAUGCAACCCUACCCUGGCUACACGUGCUUCCCUUCCCCCAC
rnacentral:lncRNA from 1 species